GGAUGUGAAGGCAGUAUGGCUGUGACAUGUCAGCCCUUUGAUCAUCCAUGCUGAUGCAGCUGAUCUGGUGGGCUCAACGGGUAACCUCUUUCUCCCUCACAGCUCCAGGUGCAUCCUUCUCAAAGCUACAUGCUGGGGGGGGCACCCACCCUCAUAGAGAGGAGGGCUGUUUCUUUGGUCAAAGGUAUAUGAAUAUCCUGUAGUACUCCCACGAUCUUGUUUUGACUGAUUAGACUCUGUUCCAUUCUAUAUGAUAGUAUCAAGUUUGAA
rnacentral:sRNA from 1 species